rnacentral:tRNA from 1 species
GCCCUCUUAGCUCAGUGGAAGAGCGCCGGGCUUCGAACCCGUAUGCGGGCGUUCGACUCGCCCAGAGGGCUCCA